UGGCUCAGAUUGAACGCUGGCGGCAUGCUUUACACAUGCAAGUCGAACGGUAACAGGCCGCAAGGUGCUGACGAGUGGCGAACGGGUGAGUAAUGCAUCGGAACGUGCCCAGUCGUGGGGGAUAACGCAGCGAAAGCUGUGCUAAUACCGCAUACGAUCUAUGGAUGAAAGCGGGGGACCGUAAGGCCUCGCGCGAUUGGAGCGGCCGAUGUCAGAUUAGGUAGUUGGUGGGGUAAAGGCCCACCAAGCCAACGAUCUGUAGCUGGUCUGAGAGGACGACCAGCCACACUGGAACUGAGACACGGUCCAGACUCCUACGGGAGGCAGCAGUGGGGAAUUUUGGACAAUGGGCGCAAGCCUGAUCCAGCAAUGCCGCGUGCAGGAAGAAGGCCUUCGGGUUGUAAACUGCUUUUGUACGGAACGAAACGGUCUGGGUUAAUACCCUGGGCUAAUGACGGUACCGUAAGAAUAAGCACCGGCUAACUACGUGCCAGCAGCCGCGGUAAUACGUAGGGUGCAAGCGUUAAUCGGAAUUACUGGGCGUAAAGCGUGCGCAGGCGGUUUUGUAAGACAGUCGUGAAAUCCCCGGGCUCAACCUGGGAAUUGCGAUUGUGACUGCAAAGCUGGAGUGCGGCAGAGGGGGAUGGAAUUCCGCGUGUAGCAGUGAAAUGCGUAGAUAUGCGGAGGAACACCGAUGGCGAAGGCAAUCCCCUGGGCCUGCACUGACGCUC
rnacentral:rRNA from 1 species